AGUCGAGGGGCAGCAUGACCUAGCAAUAGGUUGAUGGCGACCGGCGCACGGGUGAGUAACACGUAUCCAACCUACCGGUUAUUCCGGGAUAGCCUUUCGAAAGAAAGAUUAAUACCGGAUAGUAUAACGAGAAGGCAUCUUUUUGUUAUUAAAGAAUUUCGAUAACCGAUGGGGAUGCGUUCCAUUAGUUUGUUGGCGGGGUAACGGCCCACCAAGACAUCGAUGGAUAGGGGUUCUGAGAGGAAGGUCCCCCACAUUGGAACUGAGACACGGUCCAAACUCCUACGGGAGGCAGCAGUGAGGAAUAUUGGUCAAUGGACGAGAGUCUGAACCAGCCAAGUAGCGUGAAGGAUGACUGCCCUAUGGGUUGUAAACUUCUUUUAUAUGGGAAUAAAGUGAGCCACGUGUGGCUUUUUGUAUGUACCAUACGAAUAAGGAUCGGCUAACUCCGUGCCAGCAGCCGCGGUAAUACGGAGGAUCCGAGCGUUAUCCGGAUUUAUUGGGUUUAAAGGGAGCGUAGGCGGACUAUUAAGUCAGCUGUGAAAGUUUGCGGCUCAACCGUAAAAUUGCAGUUGAUACUGGUCGUCUUGAGUGCAGUAGAGGUAGGCGGAAUUCGUGGUGUAGCGGUGAAAUGCUUAGAUAUCACGAAGAACUCCGAUUGCGAAGGCAGCUUACUGGACUGUAACUGACGCUGAUGCUCGAAAGUGUGGGUAUCAAACAGGAUUAGAUACCCUGGUAGUCCACACAGUAAACGAUGAAUACUCGCUGUUUGCGAUAUACAGCAAGCGGCCAAGCGAAAGCAUUAAGUAUUCCACCUGGGGAGUACGCCGGCAACGGUGAAACUCAAAGGAAUUGACGGGGGCCCGCACAAGCGGAGGAACAUGUGGUUUAAUUCGAUGAUACGCGAGGAACCUUACCCGGGCUUAAAUUGCAAAUGAAUAUAGUGGAACAUUAUAGCCGCAAGGCAUUUGUGAGGUGCUGCA
rnacentral:rRNA from 1 species